rnacentral:rRNA from 1 species
AUUGAACGCUGGCGGCAGGCCUAACACAUGCAAGUCGAACGAGCGGCGGACGGGUGAGUAAUGUAUGGGAAACUGCCCGAUAGAGGGGGAUAACUACUGGAAACGGUGGCUAAUACCGCAUACCAUCGGAUGUACCCAGAUGGGAUUAGCUAGUAGGUGGGGUAACGGCUCACCUCGGCGACGAUCUCUAGCUGGUCUGAGAGGAUGAUCAGCCAAACUGGGACUGAGACACGGUCCAGACUCCUACGGGAGGCAGCAGUGGGGAAUAUUGCACAAUGGGCGCAAGCCUGAUGCAGCCAUGCCGCGUGUAUGAAGAAGGCCUUAGGGUUGUAAAGUACUUUCAGCGGGGAGGCGUUACUCGCAGAAGAAGCACCGGCUAACUCCGUGCCAGCAGCCGCGGUAAUAC